GUUAUAUACAAUAAUAUUAAUAAAAUAACUUAAUUAAUAAUAGCUAACAUUUAUGUAGAACUUAUUAAAUUAUGUAGAACUUAUUAAAUUACAGGCAUCUCACUAAAUUCCUUAUAAUUGUUAUCUCAUUUGAUCCUCAAAUGUGCAAUUAUCCUUAUUUUGCAGAUGAGGAAACUGAGGCAGACACAAGUUAUAUGAUUUGUUUGGCUAGUAAAUAAGUAUAUAAUGACAUAUUUGAACUCAGGCCUUCCUGACUCCAGACCUGAAAGCAGAACCAGGAACCAAAAGGUAGAAAUUAUUUAAAGGCAACUUUAAAAUUAAGGUAAGAAAAAUAACUUCUUUAAAAAAUUUUAAAUUUAGAAUAUUUUUCCAUGUUUACAAGAUUCAUGAUU
rnacentral:lncRNA from 1 species